rnacentral:rRNA from 1 species
UACGACUACAUAUCAGGCAUAUCAAUAAGCGGAGGAAAAGAAACUAACAAGGAUUCCCUUAGUAACGGCGAGUGAAGCGGGAAGAGCUCAAAUUUGAAAUCUUCAAGGUUUUACCUUGACGAAUUGUAGUUUAAAGAAGUGUUUUCUGUUGAAGUUUUGGUAAAAGUUCUUUGGAAUAGGACAUCAUAGAGGGUGAGAAUCCCGUAUUUGACCAUUAUUUUCAGCUGUGUGAUACACUUUCAAAGAGUCGGAUUGUUUGGGAAUGCAGUCCAAAAUGGGUGGUAAAUUUCAUCUAAAGCUAAAUAUUGGCGAGAGACCGAUAGCGAACAAGUACCGUGAGGGAAAGAUGAAAAGAACUUUGAAAAGAGAGUUAAACAGUACGUGAAAUUGUCAAAAGGGAAGCGUUUGACACCAGUGUUGUUUCUACGAAAAUCAAUUUAUGAUGGCUUGAUGCUAAGCUUUAAGACUUUAUCCGCUUGUUGUUUAGUUUUCUUGUCUUUGUGAAUGCACUUUUCGUGGAACAAGUCAACAUCAAUUUCUUUUGCUGUAAAAGGGUAAGAGGAAGGUGGCUUCGGCUUCGGUUGAAGUGUUUAUAGCCUUUUAUCUCUGCAGUCGGAGAGAUUGAGGUCUGCAGCGUAGACUCUUCGGGGUUAGAUACGUCGGUGCUAAGCUAUAGCUUUUCAUAGACAACUUGUUGACUAUGUUUAGUCAUGUGGCUUACCCGCUGGCGCUAUUUUACCUACGCUUAGGAUGUUGAGCGCAUGUCUCUCUCU